AAGGUGGGUAUGAAAUGACACACACGUACUAUAACGAUACGUCGGGGUGCCUAUGAAAAUAGGUCGAUGUUGAGGGUGCGUGGAGGCCUAAC
rnacentral:sRNA from 1 species